rnacentral:misc_RNA from 1 species
GGAGGCGGCGAUGUUUUGCCACAGGGAAAGGAGCAAUCUACGGAAAAUAAGAGCACUACAGUGGACCUAUUGAACAGAGAGGUGAAAAAGUGGAAAAAGUUGAAGACGAAAGCCCAGCGAAUGAUCAGACGAUGAUAGAGAGAGGUCAAGCUCGCCGCUCUUGGUUCGUUACCUCAGUGCUUUUAUCAUUUGGAAUUCUGUGAUUAAGGUAUCGGUGAUUUUAUUAUUUGUAAUUCUGAGAUUGAGGUGUCUGGAGCUUUUACCAUAAAUUUUAAAUAAGACUAUGAAAUUGUGAUUUGGAGACAAAAAAAAA